GGGGGGAGGGGGGGGGAACGGGAGGACGAGGAGGUUCCCUGCUUAUUUUUCCCUGAGGCAAAUAUCUCUUCCAUGAUCGAGGGAAGAGGCAGCAGUGUUUUUGCAGUGGUGCGAAGUGUGGCUGUUGCUAGAAAUGCUUCUCACUUUGUUCCUGAAAAGUGUGCCAGAUGCACUGGAGAGCUCGCACCGCUUUAUUUAUGUAAUGCGAUGUGAGGAGGAACGGGGGGGAGUUCUCCACCCCUGGUGCAGCCGAUUUGGCUAAAUUUGCAGUGCUGUGCUGCAAAAGUUACGUGCUCAUUUAUCCCACUGGCCAGAACAGAGGGGCCUCUCCUUGCUGCUGCAUCCCUGCUCCCCGAGGAUGCUGCUCAGAAAGCCCACUGCCCUCAGCGUGCCCUGUGCUCAGCUCAACCUGCGUUAGCCAAAGGGCUGAGGGCUUCGUGUCCCACGCUAAGGGAUCAACCACGCACUGCUGGGCUCAUAUAGAUUGCAGCAGGAGCUCCCUGCUCUGCCACAUCCCGGCCCCAGGCACAGAGAUGGGAGCAUGGAGCCCUCACUGUGAGCAAAUGAGGGUGAGUUAAUGGGGUGCACCCCACGGGCAGGGGCUGGGGAACUUCUCGCCCUGCAGUCAGGUUUUUGCUUCUGUUCCAAAGAGCUCCUAAAACAUAAUAAGUAGAGUAGAGAGAAAACAAGCGUUUCCCUAAGUGGGACCACGCUGCUCUUCCCAGCUGCCCGAGAAACAGAAUGUUUUGAUGAAAUCAAUUAUGAUGUAUACGAAACAAUUUUACUCUUAACCAGCUGCCACCUUAUUUCCUGCCAUGUUGAUCUAUUCAGACACAGUCACUUUUUCUUCCUUAAGAAUAUAUAUUUGCUCGAGGAGAGACAUCAAAAACUGGGUGGAUAAUUCCUAUGAUCCAGUGCUGUCCUAAGAGAAAGCAGCGCUCGGAAUCAGAAAGCAAACAGCAUGGAGACAGUGCUGGGUCCUGCUGGUUUCCCCCCGAAAGGGCUGGUUGGUCCCCCUGCCCUCGCUGUACAUGCAGCACAUGGCAGGCACAGAUCUCGGCCCCUGGGAAGGGGCAUCAGGACCCUUUGCCCUCUCCCCGUGUGCCCUCUCCUCUGUAGAAACUCCUGGUGGCACACAGAGGCCUCUGCUGCACCGAGCGAGAUUCACACACUCUUGGGAGCUUUAAUUAGAACCAUGCUGCAUGCAGUACUUUCAUAGCUUCUCCAAUUUAUUAUUUAUGAUUUAAAGCAACGACAAAACAACAUGAAAAUAUUUGCUUGUUAAGGAAAAAAGACGUGGUGGCAUAGGGCAAUAAGCAUUUAAAAAAAAUAAUAAAUAAGAGAAUUUCCAUAGCAGUGCCCACCUGGUGCAGUACCUGGCAGUGCCUACCUGGUGUGUAGGGUCGCAGUGUGCUCAGAGCCCCAUCUGCUGGGUCACUGCCAUCACAUGGAGGUGCCGCGUCCCCGUCUGGGAUGGGGAAAACACCGCACAGAGAGGUACGGAGGGUUUCACGGGCAGAUACUGGUGCUCUGACACGUUUUCUUCUCCGUUAGUCCUUCCUUUCAUCAGCACGGCAGAAAAAGAGGCUGCUGCAAGCUCUGCAUUGACAGCGGUCAUUCAAACUGCUGCUGGGAGAGUGUGACGGGCUGUAGCUGUAGCGUUCAGGCUGUAGCAGACGGUGCCGUGGCCGUGCUGUUUGUUCAGCUUGUUUCCCGGCUGAGAGGCGCGCACCCAGCCGCACGCCGACGGCUCCGCUGGUCACACUUGCGCUCUUUGAAGUUCGGGUGUUUGUCGGCACUCGCACCCCCGGCUUUGCUUCUUAAAGCCCACCGAGAUAGCAGCUUGGAGUGCUGUGCAGUGUUGCCUUCUCCUCCCGGCCGCUGCCAGAAACAACACGGCCGCUCUGAGCGAGGACGGGUCGGUGUCUGCGCCGUGAGGGGCAGCCCGUGCUGUGCGGCUGCCUUCCCCCAGCGGGCAGGAGGCUCUCCGGGGUGCUGUGUGCGCUAGUACAGAACCUUGGUUGGUAGGGGCAGCCCUGAAACUAAGAGGAAAAAUUAAAAUAGGUGCAGCUGUGGCUGGCUCUGACUGAGAGGGUUCGGAGCACAAAGUGAAACGGGGAUGCAGCAGAAACUGGGUUACGUGGCUCUGAGUAAAUGCUCUCCCGUCAGAGCAGGAUUUAUUUUACAUCACUGCUCUAGUUCUUGUCCUGAGGAUGUUUAACUCACUCGGAGCUGUUUGGUCUCCAGGAUGGAUUCCUACAAUUAUGUGUUUGUGAUUGCGAGCACUGCCACGGGAAGCAGCAGGAGGAUAUCAUUUUGGGAGUGCUGGGAGGCACGGACGGAGCUGGAGAGCCUUCUCCUGGGCUUCAGCCACUGCUACACUUCGGAGGGAGGCUGCAGAGCGCUUCGGGCCUGACGUGCUUCUGCACUUAGCAGCUUGAAUAACAGGGCAUCAGAUGGGUAUUACUGCAUCGCUGUAACUUUAAACUUCUUCCACGCAGUGACAACGUGCAGUUUGGGGCUGUGCGCAGUGCUCACCUCAGGCGUGUUUUCAGAGUGCUCACAGCAGGCAACGAACACGGCCUGCCCGAGGCCCCGUGGCUGCAGGCCUGCAGGGCUGGGCAUGGCCUCGCACAGCCCCACGCGCUGCACAACCUCAGUGAGCUGCCCAGCGCCCGCCUGCUGCCCAAGGAUGCUCAGAGCACCUCGGUCACACGCCGCGGUGCGGAGCCUGGGGACGCCCGGCUGUGGGAGCCCCAGCUGGGACGAGCCGUGACCGAGGCCGGUUCGUGGGCAUCUAUCUCAGCUAUCUGCCUGAGCCCCGUGCCAGAUGUGGCUCGAAAUCCUCAGAUGCCCUCUGCUGCCAUGGACCAGAAUUAACAGAUGGCUCCGUGUAACCAGAACAUAAUCUUGAAUUUACGGAAGUCCAUGGCAAAAUCUGGUUGUGAAGGGGGCUAUUUUCUGCGAGACUAUUUGUGAAGAUUCCUGGCUCUCUGCCUUUGUGUACAAGGCUGACACAUGGCCCAUGCAUCCUCACUGUGCCUAGCAGCAUGCCCACUCCUUCCAGAGCUCUAUUGCAGGGAUGCACAUAGCCCUCCAGUGGAUGGGCUGUAUUCCAUCACUGUGGCAAACCUGUGGAGCUGUGAUAGCUUAUAAAACUUGACAGCAUGGUCCAUUGCAUGUACGUUUUCUAAAUCCAUAUUUUUCCAAUUUUUUUUUUCCUGUAGUGGCAAGUUUUUUUCUAUCCAUCUGGGAGCAGAAUCCUGUGCUCAGCGUAUGUAAAUAACAGCUGUUUCCACUCAAUUGCAUUUAUGUACUUAACACUUCAAAAUAGUUUUUUUCUAGAAGUUUCACAAUCUAGUCACCAUCCAUGCUUAAACAGAGGUACUGGGGAGAGGUUAAUGAAACCCCUCUGGACUGGCUGACAAAAGUAUACAGCUGCAGCUCUGGAAUCCCCACACAGGACGGAUUGCUGAUGCUGACAGCCAUGCUCCGAUGCACUGUGGAGGCAACUUCAUUCCUGAGGCAGCCUCAGCUCUGGCUUCUGGGGCUGCUGCGGGGGUAGCAGGGUGCCAAGUGAGGAGAGGAGCUGUGCUGGUAGUGCCUUCCAGGCAAAGUUAAUUUGUCAUGUAGAGCAGCUGAACAGGAGGAAAAAUGGCAAGUAAUUUAGAGGGAAAAGCUUAUCUGCCAGUGUCGCAGAUUUUUAAAUGCAUUAACCUAUUGCAUCCUGAGAAGAAAGGGAGCUCUUUAAUGCUCUGAUAUAUCUUUUGUUGUAAUGUCACUAGCUCUGAAAUGAAAAUACAGCCUUUUUAUUUUAAAAUGCCUCAAUGAAGAUUUCAAGAAAUUAAUGUUCGAUUAUUAUUUUUGUCCAGAAGCCUCAUUGUUUUUCCAAAUGGCUCAACCUGAGCUAUUUCAUUAGACUUUUGGAUCCUCUGAAGGCCCAGGAUUACAGAACAUUGAUAUUUAGUUACCCUUCAUUCACUCCAUUUACUCUGAUGCAGACUGCUGAGAGCUGUGUGUUCCUAAAUCCGGGCUGUUUUUUAUGUUACUGUAUUUUUUAUUUUGCUUAUUCAGAAGAAAAAUACUUUGAUGUUUACUGCCGUCUCAACUGGAACACCUGUGAACUGGGCAGGACCAUGCUGAGGACUCAAGGUGUGCGGAGAGAGCAAUAACUGCGUGCGAGCUGUUGCUCUCACACAUCCCGACGUGCCUGUGCCACAGUGUUUAUAAGAGGAGCAAAGAGGACCUGAGCUUGGGUUGUCUGUGAGAACAGCCACCUGCUCCCACAGGGCAUGUCUGUACUUCUGGAUAAGAACAUUCCUGAUGUUACCGCUGUGCCAACGUGGCUCCUCCUGGGCUCCUCCUGCUUCCCCACUCCACAGCACUGCCUGCACUCUGGUGCUGUGUGGGUCCGAUGUGGAAUGAUGCCUUCUUGCGUUUCUUUCAGUUCAGAGUGCCUGAAAUGAGGUGAAACAGCUCUGCAGCCUCCGAGAAUGGUGCUUCCCUAGUGUGAACACGAGGUACACGUGUGUUUUGGGGCGUGGUAAUGUCUGAGGGUGAGCAGCCAUCUUGGGUUGCUCUGGGCAGAGGCACAAGAAGGCCUGGCCUUGGGAGCAGGCUCUUCACUGCUAGAGGGUCCAGCUGGGAGAGGCUGGGAGAGGGCUGAGGGGUAUAUGGUGAAGCAGUGUAGGUGCUUAGCAGCCCCAAGCUUGAGCUCGGUGCUCAGGCUCAGAGGGGCCAGCCUGACUGCCUGCUGCUGGGCCGAGCUGGCUGGGCGCGAGUGGCACUCUGCAGGUGGUGUGCUUCACUCCUAAGGAAGCACUGGGCUUCUAAGGGGUCAUUUCCUCAAGUCACGAGUUAAAGCCUCAGCCACGUUGAAGCAACACAGCCAGCAGCUCGAGGGCCAGGACCAGCCAAGCAGUGUGGGGGUGCUCACCACUGCCACCUGCCUCAGGGCUGCCCACACCCUCCCUCCUUCCCAGGCUGUGCCCCAGCCACCGUCACCGUGUCGCCUUUCAGCCACCAUUGGCCUCUUUGAGCUUCAUUUCAAGUCUUUUUUUUUUUUUUUUUUAAUUAAACAAAUACAGCUGUAUAAAGUCAAUGAAUUUUAACCCACAGGGCCAACACAACACACGUGGAGUGUUUGCUGCAGUAGGUUUGAACAUACAAAUUCACACUCUAGGAAGAGAAGUGCUGGGCCAUUUUUCUUAUUCUCCGUGUAUGGCGAGCACUUUGCUUGCACUGUGUGUGCCUUCCCCCUUGAUCAGAAAUUCUUUUUCUUAACCAAUUGCUAAAAUCCAUGGAACUCGUUGCCACGGCCAGUUUCCCCAUCACUAAAUGCAAGAUUUUAACGGCAUAAAAAAUGGGAUGGGAGUAAGACAGUUUUAUAAAGAUGUAAGGUAUUCAUAGAAAACAACAAGCAAAUCCUGACAUCAAAGUGGGGACAUGAUUUAGUGAUGAAAUACUGGUGGUAGCGAGAUGGUUGGACUGGAUGAUCUUGGAGGUCUUUUCCAACCUUGGUGAUUCUAUGAUUCUAAGUCAGGACUAAAAAAUAUAGAAUAACCAAAAAAUUGAGAGGGAACAUGAACUUUUAUAUUACCAUAAACAAAUGUAAACAAACAGACCUUUUUUUUUCCUGGAAUUACUUUAUUGACUGGAAGCCUCAGAGUGCCUUAACGAAAGCAGAAGAGCAUGUCUGCAGCACAGCCAUUUUGUUAUUUGUUGUGUUUGUCUUGUGUAGCUACCCGGAGGUAACAGAGAGAACCAUGGGCUCAUCAGAAGAGGGAGUAUAGAGAUGCAUAAAAUAAACACCUCUUGUUUAUUCAGAAUAAAUAGAAUGAAAGAAAAAAAGAUUAACAGCUUCACUACUAACUUUUAGUAUUGGAGAGCUGAUGAAACAAAAGGAGGUGAGAGAUUAAAAUCCUAUACACAGUUAUUAAGCAUGUGCAUUACUGCAUGCAGAGAACAAAAACCAGGAAGUUAGAAAGCUGUUGCAGUGAAGGCAAAACACAUUGCUUCAUUUGCUUAGCAAGAGAAAACUGCUUAGUCUUUAAAAUAUUUUGCUGACUUUCUCAUCUCUUCAUUCAGGACUUCUGUAUAUGGACUACAUGCUAGUAAAGCUUAGCAGGAACAGCAAAAAAGAAGUCUUCACCUUUAAGCAGAGUACUUCUAUAUUUCUGUCUCUGCUCACAAACUGCUGCCCUACCCUCCCAACUCAACCAACCAAAAAAUAAUUCCCAAACACAAUAAAACUACCUUUAUUUGCUAUGAAAUUUGUAUCUAAAUCUCUACUAAGCUCCUCCUCCCUUCACAGAAGAGAGAAAAGCACCUCCAGAAAACAAUCUGUGGCUUAUUCCAAUCUUUUUUUUUUUUUUUAAUGGGAUUUACUGCCUUGUUGAGGUACUUUGUAUGCGUGCCUAUUGACUAUAAGGUGAGUCUGUGACAAGUAACUCAGAUUUACAUGUCUAAUUAGUAGUUGCCUCAGUGUUAGGAAACAAAUCUAGCUCUUACAUAUUGUAGGUAUACAAUUAGUCUGAACUUCAUUCUUGUGAAAACUGGGCUCUAAGUCAAUUUAUUCUACAGUAGUAAUAAAGUGAGACACACAUCCUCCAUUACAGGAGAGGAAAGCAGCCUGCACAGCCUAUGUCUGCUUGUUCAUGUAAUUUUGUACUAUUUUUCAGGAUGGAAUGAGCACGUGGGAAAUUGUAACAGUGCACCAUGAAAACUGGAAUAACUGAGAAAGCGCUGACAUCAAACAUAAAUUCCUAUUGUGAUACAUUAUAGAGCUGCAGGCACAGUAGAAUUUGGAGAUGUCAGGUGAACUCCAGGCCCUCCCAACAGCCAGCUUUUCCAUGGGGCUGAAUAGGGGUAGGGAGAUGGGGUGGCUAACCGCUCCCUCCAUUCUUGUCCCGAGGAGCUUGAGCACACAGACAUGAAACUCGUCAAAUGGGCCCAUUUGGCAGUGCUGUACUAUUGACUCAAUUUUUCAAAACCACCAGGGUUGGAUGUUUCUUGUUGUUGUUGUUGUUUAAUAUGUAUGAAGAAAGAUACAGCUCUGAUACAUUAGAAAAGUCAAAUAGUUCAAAGCAAACAAGAAAGUGCUAGAAAAGAACCUUUGACCCUUUGAAUCCAAGCACUUUCAGACCUCCCAGGAAAUCUCUUAUUCGUCAGUACUUGCAAAUUUAAUUAAGUAACAGCUGGCGCGUGUCUCUCAUAGCGUUAAGUCCCACCAUCUAUGGCUUCGAACAAAUCCAGGAGAGCCACUGUGCAAGGUUGCCUCCCGGUGGUGGUACCACGAACCUGCAGAAUGACAGAAUCUGCACACAGAAAAGGCAAAAAACCCGUUUGAAAGGAACGCUUCCUUUUUGAAUUCAGGUCUACGUAGAGUAAGUGAAAAAUUUCAGUGUGAUUUUAACGGCCUGAAUUGAGGACAAACCUUUUGAUACACGACUGAAGCAGAGCUUUCUAGUGGAAUAGCAUACUGACAAGGAAAGCUCAGAGACUUUCAGUACGUGAAAAAAAAGCUAAAAAUCAGUAAGCUGUACCCAAUUGCACACUAUCCACAGCAGUGAGCCUCCUGAAGUCUGAAACAAUAGCUAUUAAGCACAAGGCAAAUGGCUGAGUGCCUUAAGUUGGAUACAAAAGCACUACAGCAGAUUUCCCAUUCUACCAAUUCUAUGUAACUCAGAUUUUCAAUUACGAAGUUAGCAACAAGAGGAGAAAAGACAACAGAAAGUCCCAAACUACCUUUCAGAUUGAUUGUUCUUUUAGGUAAAAGCAGGAAAAGACUCCAGCAGAUGGAUUUCCAAUUCCAAGUCUUCAAGUAAAGAGAAACACACAGUUAAAAGACAGCUUUAUGUAGCUGUUCAAGAUGAUGAAAGCCAGGACAACUUGAAAUGACUGUGGGAAUAGGAGUUUAGUUGGGUCACGCUUCAGAUGACCCAGACGAAAGAUUUAGUGUAAGAAAACAGAAAUAUUGGCAGCGUAGUGCAGGGAAGGAUUUUAAAACACCCAUUUUAUGGAUUAACGUAACAACAAAUUGGCAGAGGGUACAUGCAGUGAGUGUGUUUCAGACUCAUUCAGUUCCCAGUAACUGCUCAGAAGAGGAAGUGCUUUAAAUCAGAUAGCAGUCCCACACACAACAGAUUUUUAGUGCUCCAAAUACCUAAGGAGUGUUCAAAAACAUUUGGGAAAAAGUGAGAAAUGUAACAACAUUUCUGCAGCGACUGCAGAUGAUGAAGCGUCAAGUUUGACAGACAAGGACAGACAAACGCAGUGGUACUGCAAUGACAAAAGGCAUCUGCAAAGGAAAAUGUCUUAACAGCAUUAAGCAGGCAUAAGCAAGAAUUUCUUUGGGGGGGAGGAUAAAUAUUUGAAAGCUGAACCCAAGAAAGAACAUCUUUUUUUAAAUUGGAAUGAAACCAAGCAGACAAUUUAGGUCUCAGCUUUCCGAAAAUAAUGGUGGUUCAGUUUUACAUGGUGGAUUAUAACAGAACAGUGAGCGAUAGAUAGAUAGAUAGAUAGAUAGAUAGAUAGAUAGAUAGAUAGAUAGACAGACAGAUGUAAGCUUCUCACCUAUGGACCUGUGUCAGUAACAGUCACCACAAACCGAUGCAAAUAAUAAAAUUUGUUUUAUUACUAACAUUUUUUUUAGUAACUACUAUUACUAAAUUUUUUUAAUUCCUAAAACCCUUCAAAAAAGUCGUACUAAAGGCAGAAAAAUUACUUUUGUUCAACUGGAUUUGCAGAGUAAACAGACAUCCAAUAAACAUUCCUUCAUGACAGUGUGCUUGAUGACACACUGUAUCACACAAAGCCAGAAUCGCUGUGCUGACGUAGGAUUACACAUGGCAUCAGAUUAACAUACAAGCGUAGCAGCGCUAUUUCAUGCUAUCCCAGGAUAAAUCAUGAUGGGCUAACUGGCCUUACAUGUUAAAAAUAACACCCAUCAAAUACUCAGACUAGCCUGAUGCAGCUGACAUUAACUUCACACAAAGUGUUCAGGAAAAACAAACUGUUUAGAAAAAAGCAGAUGCACUUCACACUGAAAUGACCAGAAUUAGAGACUUUAUACGGUACUCACCUUGUAGCAAGACAUACGGAUAACGCAAACUGGCAAAAUGACACCAGAUGAAUGGAAGAAACAAGCACCUUCCUGCCUUAACCAAGUUGCCUUGGAAAGGAAGCAUGAUCAAAAUGUAUGAUGUUUGGGAUUUUUCCCCCAUCAUUAUUUAUUUAGAUGUGCAAAGAUAACAGUAAUGUUACUGGAUCUCUGUGGGGGCACAACGUCCCAAGAUGGCACUUUCUGUCAGAAGGCUGAUGCCUAAAACUGAAGGCUGGAGAAAAUCAUUUUACAUUUCUGAGAAAAAUGGUAGGUGACAAUAUUUUAUUAGCAGAAACAUUUAAGCACUGCAAGGUGCUAUGAAGCAGAUUAAAAUCACGUUUCUUGAAUUUAAAGCAUUUGAAGGACCAGCCCUUCCCCCUUGGUAAGCUGGAAAGAGUCGGUAUCUUCACUAAAUGAUUGCUAGGUUAAAGCAAAGAACUAUUCCUCCUUGAGCUACACCUAUUUAUAGGAACAUACACAGCAUCCUCACUGAACAAGUUAGGAUGAAUUUAAAAUCAAAAAUAACAACAGAAUUGUACACAAAUAUCUCAAAUAUUUGCAAAUGCCGAAUGAUUAAAGAGUGAGUGAUGCCUCGGAAGCUGAAGUUUAACCGAGUCGUCCAGCUUUCAGUAUAAGAAAAGAGCCUUAAAUUCUUUAAACCUCAGUAUUCAAAGCUCAUCUGCAUUCUAAGUAUUAGAUUUCUGAAAUAAGAAACCACAGCACGUGCAGUUCUAGAACUCCCACUCUGAAAUACUGCUUCUAUGUGUUGACUUUACAAUAAGCCUCUGAUCUAGUUUAAUCAGAGCACUCCAUCAUCUGCUACAUCCAGAUCUAAGGCCGGCACAUUCUCUGACCCUACAGGCACAAUAUUCUUCAGAGCCUUUAUGUCAUCAGUGCACUUCUGUUGUUUUUCUAUUAUCAACUAACUGAAACAGGACAAAUCAAAUUUAGUUAAGCCUGGUUUCAUUAAAACACACACAUGUAGAACAGAAAAACAUUUCUGUAUUUUUUUUUUAUUUCAAAUAAAGAUCAGUAACAACAUGCUCAUGAGCAAGAAGUCAUCUUAAUUAUCUCUCUUUAGGAGGAUUAGGAUUCUUCCGUCUUCUCUGAUACCUAGAAGAUACAAAAAAAGCUGCUGUGAAUGUAAGUUUUGGAAAAAUCUUUGACUUUCCUGACCUUCUUCCCUCCAGAAGCAGUUUGGAGUUACACAAGUAAGCAAAAUGUAAUACACACAAACACAGCCCAUGACCAUUCAUUAGAUGCCAUCUCUGUUGUUCGUGAAGUUACACAACACCGCUCAUUUCUGCUGUACAUCUGCUACAAGCACGCAAUAAUCCAUUCAGCUGUAGAGCUGACUGUAGAUACAAAGGCUGCUUUUUACUCUUAAUCCUUUGUGUGAGAUUAAUUUCACUGUACAGUCAGGGCUUCCUCUGACCAAAAUGACUGCUACAGAAUAAUCUGGGGUACAAGAAGGAGUUAUGUCAGACCUUACUUUAAAUAGUGUAAUAUUCUGCAGUCAUAUCAUUCAAAAAAAUUCUUCACAACAAAGAAAGAUAAACUGCAUCCCUACUUUCUUAAUUAGCCACCCUUAAACAAGGCAAAUACAGUACGAUACUCAUUAAGUGACAACUACCCUCUGGCCAUAUGGAGCUCUACCAUUUGUUUUCUUCACUUGUUCACAAAACAUAACAAUUAAAAAGGUUUGCAGUGUAUCAAGUUUCCACAGCUAUGAAAUCAGCAAUUACCAUAAAAUGUAAUAACACAGACUGGAGUGGAGCUGCACAUUGUUUCCAGUGGUGUACCUCAAUACACAGAGUUUCUCUUUAAGCUCAGUCAGGCAUGUUACAUCUCUUCUCCUUGCAGCUUUCUGAAUACAAAGUGCACCAAGGUACACUUCUCAUCAUUUCAAAUGAAAAACUACUUUUUUUUUUUUGUUAAGUCUGAUAAUUAUAUGGUUUCAAGCUGUAUUGGCUAUAUUCACUGACAGUGUGAUUUCACUUAUGCAAUUUUAGGAAACCACGUGGAGCAGCAGCUAAUUACACAAUAUGAGAAAUUUCUACUCCAUGGUAUUUUACCAAUCAAGUUGCAAAGGCUAUGGAAGGGGCAGAAUUUUUAAAAAACAAGAUAAUACUGUCUUCCAUUUACACGACAUUGCAUUUAGAACUGUAUGUAAUAGCCCACGUGCUAAGAGUAUUUCAUAGGAUGAGUUUGGAUAAAUUACAAUCAUGCCUGUGUUUCUCUUUAUGCCCAAAAGGAACACACACUGAAAAAAAAGAAAACUUACUGUCCCACAGGGUACCACCGAUGUUUUGUAGUGUAAAACAUUUUGCUGAGCUCUUCAAUUCUAAGUCCUCUAUCAUUCUUUAGCUCUUCUUCAUUCAAUCUGGAUUUUAAAAUUUGAUCUAGAGUUUCUUCUUUGUUAUUCACCGGAUCUGGUCGCGGCACGGGCUACAAAAACAAGAACGUAAAUUUCCUCUUUAGGAAGAACAAAAAGUCAAGCUGCACUGAUAACAUUACUAUUUACUCUUUAAAGCUGAGAACAAAAGAACUGAAAAAAGAAAGCAUCAUAAAAGGCUCCCUCCCUUCUCAAUCAAAACCACAUCACUCUGGGGAGGAAUUCUAGAAACAUCUCAUUACUGCAGGUGCUACGGCUGAUUACUGUGUCCCACUGUCAGUGCUACUGCUGAGCUCUCAUCCUUACAAUCCACUAGCUGAACCAUAAGCAUCAAUUUACUAACAUAAAAUACUCAUAUUAUUGCUAUUUAUACAUUUGUUCAUACUGACGACCACCAUUUUAUCAUACUAAGUUUUUAAGUUUUUAUUGAAAGUUUUCCUGUGAAGUUUAUGAACUCACAGAGUUGAAUGGAGUUUAAAAUAACAGCACUUCUUCAUGUCCCCCAUACUGCUGCAACUGAACACAGCAGGAUGUACGAGCUAUCGCCCAGAUUUCCAACAUCUUCUCUGAGGAGCAUGCUCUUGGACAAACACUUCUUUUCUCUGUAGUGCACAACCAUUUGAGUACCUCAUUUAAUUCACUUUGAGCAAUGCUGUAAGAAUCUGAGCAUUUAUUUGCCUGUAGCUUUCUCUCACUUCAGCUACAAGUCCUCCUUAGAGCAGCAGCUAUAUUCAUCACUCACUUCACAGAUAUGCUGCUCAUGUAAAGAACAGCACCUCUGUCUUUCAAACUGCAAGAAAAAACAAACAGUUGUCCUGAAGACUCAGAAAUUCCUACGCUUCUACACGACUAAGCAAUGUGUACCGUUGGACAUACUUGUGUGUGCUCGUAUGGAAUCUCGAGUGAAGGGUGGUAGCAGACAAUUGUCUUCGAAUCUGAUGUCAAGGCAAGUUCCACUUUGCUGUGAAAAUAAAAAGUGACAUUAUUACAAUCCCUUACAAUUUCCAGAAAUGCUGACUGACUGAGCAGCCCAAUUCCCAAAGAAAACCCCAUUUCAUCCUCUAUUUAUGAAUUCUUUGUAAAUCUUCUAUCAAAUAAAACCUGAAAAAAUAAGGCUCA